rnacentral:rRNA from 1 species
GUCACUAGUUGUCGGGUCUUCAUUGACUUGGUAACGUAGCUAACGCGUGAAGUUGACCGCCUGGGGAGUACGGUCGCAAGAUUAAAACUCAAAGGAAUUGACGGGGACCCGCACAAGCGGUGGAUGAUGUGGAUUAAUUCGAUGCAACGCGAAAAACCUUACCUACCCUUGACAUGUAUGGAAUCCUGCUGAGAGGUGGGAGUGCCCGAAAGGGAGCCAUAACACAGGUGCUGCAUGGCUGUCGUCAGCUCGUGUCGUGAGAUGUUGGGUUAAGUCCCGCAACGAGCGCAACCCUUGUCCCUAGUUGCUACGCAAGAGCACUCUAGGGAGACUGCCGGUGACAAACCGGAGGAAGGUGGGGAUGACGUCAAGUCCUCAUGGCCCUUAUGGGUAGGGCUUCACACGUCAUACAAUGGUCGGAACAGAGGGUCGCCAACCCGCGAGGGGGAGCCAAUCCCAGAAAACCGAUCGUAGUCCGGAUCGCACUCUGCAACUCGAGUGCGUGAAGCUGGAAUCGCUAGUAAUCGCGGAUCAGCAUGCCGCGGUGAAUACGUUC